UUGUUGUUUAUUUAUGAAGCACCGAGAAGACCUUCCCCGGUUCUGGACAUCCACAGAACCUCGCAGAGAUGGAUUGGUGCUUUGGGGAACUGUGAGACAGGUGCUGCAUGGUUGUUGUCCCCUUGUGUUGUGAAAUGUUGGGUUAAGUCCCGCAACGAGCGCAACCCUUAUCUUUUGUUGCCAGCGGUUAGGCCGGGAACUCAAAGGAGACUGCCAGUGAUAAACUGGAGGAAGGUGGGGAUGACGUCAAGUCAUCAUGGCCCUUACGACCAGGGCUACACACGUGCUACAAUGGCGCAUACAAAGAGAAGCGACCUCGCGAGAGCAAGCGGACCUCAUAAAGUGGGUCGUAGUCCGGAUUGGAGUCUGCAACUCGACUCCAUGAAGUCGGAAUCGCUAGUAAUCGUAGAUCAGAAUGCUACGGUGAAUACGUUCCCGGGCCUUGUACACACCGCCCGUCACACCAUGGGAGUGGGUUGCAAAAGAAGUAGUUAGCUUAACCUUCGGAGGGCGCUA
rnacentral:rRNA from 1 species